rnacentral:tRNA from 1 species
GGGCCAUUUGCUUAGCCUGGUUAACAAGGUUUUAUAUGCUUGGUCAACAAGCGCAGGUCUUAUAAACCUGAGAUCCGGGGUUCAAUUGACGAUUGGGGUUCCCCUCGUCAGAAUCAACCCCCGAUGGCCCA